GGUAAGAUGGCUGAGAGUCAAGCGGCGGAUUGUAGCUUCGUGCAUAGAGGUUAAAUUCCUCUUCUUAUCA
rnacentral:tRNA from 1 species